GAUUAAGUUAUUAAGGGCGCACGGUGGAUGCCUUGGCACUAGAAGCCGAUGAAGGACGUUACUAACGACGAUAUGCUUUGGGGAGCUGUAAGUAAGCUUUGAUCCAGAGAUUUCCGAAUGGGGAAACCCAGCAUGAGUUAUGUCAUGUUAUCGAUAUGUGAAUACAUAGCAUAUCAGAAGGCACACCCGGAGAACUGAAACAUCUUAGUACCCGGAGGAAGAGAAAGAAAAUUCGAUUCCCUUAGUAGCGGCGAGCGAAACGGGAAGAGCCCAAACCAACAAGCUUGCUUGUUGGGGUUGUAGGACACUCUAUACGGAGUUACAAAGGACGACAUUAGACGAAUCAUCUGGAAAGAUGAAUCAAAGAAGGUAAUAAUCCUGUAGUCGAAAAUGUUGUCUCUCUUGAGUGGAUCCUGAGUACGACGGAGCACGUGAAAUUCCGUCGGAAUCUGGGAGGACCAUCUCCUAAGGCUAAAUACUCUCUAGUGACCGAUAGUGAACCAGUACCGUGAGGGAAAGGUGAAAAGCACCCCGGAAGGGGAGUGAAAUAGAACCUGAAACCGUGUGCUUACAAGUAGUCAGAGCCCGUUAAUGGGUGAUGGCGUGCCUUUUGUAGAAUGAACCGGCGAGUUACGAUUUGAUGCAAGGUUAAGCAGUAAAUGUGGAGCCGUAGCGAAAGCGAGUCUGAAUAGGGCGUUUAGUAUUUGGUCGUAGACCCGAAACCAGGUGAUCUACCCUUGGUCAGGUUGAAGUUCAGGUAACACUGAAUGGAGGACCGAACCGACUUACGUUGAAAAGUGAGCGGAUGAACUGAGGGUAGCGGAGAAAUUCCAAUCGAACCUGGAGAUAGCUGGUUCUCUCCGAAAUAGCUUUAGGGCUAGCCUCAAGUGAUGAUUAUUGGAGGUAGAGCACUGUUUGGACGAGGGGCCCCUCUCGGGUUACCGAAUUCAGACAAACUCCGAAUGCCAAUUAAUUUAACUUGGGAGUCAGAACAUGGGUGAUAAGGUCCGUGUUCGAAAGGGAAACAGCCCAGACCACCAGCUAAGGUCCCAAAAUAUAUGUUAAGUGGAAAAGGAUGUGGCGUUGCCCAGACAACUAGGAUGUUGGCUUAGAAGCAGCCAUCAUUUAAAGAGUGCGUAAUAGCUCACUAGUCGAGUGACACUGCGCCGAAAAUGUACCGGGGCUAAACAUAUUACCGAAGCUGUGGAUUGUCCUUUGGACAAUGGUAGGAGAGCGUUCUAAGGGCGUUGAA
rnacentral:rRNA from 1 species